AAUUCAUUCUGUGUUUUACAGCCACUGCAGUAAGUUCAAAAUAUACGAAAAACAUAAAAAGAAAGCGACAAGUUACGCGUACCAAAUGGAUCCAAACAAAAAGGAUGAUAUGUUGACCCCAAAACAGGAAAUUCGUCGUACAUGGAUAUGCCGAGAAUGUGGUGGAGCUGGAGUUGGGCCGACAUCUCGAGAUGUUCAUUAUAAUGCGGGAUGCAAAGUUGAUCGCUCGAAAGUAAUUUUCUCGCCAAAAAAAUAAUGACACCAAGAUGGAUGAGAAAUAAAACCGCACGGCGCACAUACUUCAACUCUUUUAUAAUUGUCUAUCGAAAUAUGAAAUAAAUGAAGUAUAAAUUGAAAUAGGA